AAUUAGCCCCGAUUGAAAUGAUAGCUUCCAAUUAUUGGAACUAAAAUGAAAAGCGGGUAAAAGG
rnacentral:sRNA from 2 species